rnacentral:rRNA from 1 species
ACGGGGGGAGCAAGCGUUGUUCGGAUUUACUGGGCGUAAAGGGCGCGUAGGCGGCCACCGCAAGUCAGUUGUGAAAUCUCUGGGCUUAACCCAGAAAGGUCAACUGAUACUGCGGGGCUAGAGUGCAGAAGGGGCAACUGGAAUUCUCGGUGUAGCGGUGAAAUGCGUAGAUAUUGGGAGGAACACCAAUGGCGAAGGCAGCUCGCUGGGACGUUACUGACGCUGAGACGCGAAAGCGUGGGGAGCAAACAGGA